GAUGAACGCUGGCGGCGUGCUUAACACAUGCAAGUCGAACGAUGAAGCCCAGCUUGCUGGGUGGAUUAGUGGCGAACGGGUGAGUAACACGUGAGUAACCUGCCCUUGACUCUGGGAUAAGCCCGGGAAACUGGGUCUAAUACCGGAUAGGAGCGCCUGUCGCAUGACGGGUGUUGGAAAGAUUUUUCGGUCAUGGAUGGACUCGCGGCCUAUCAGCUUGUUGGUGAGGUAAUGGCUCACCAAGGCGACGACGGGUAGCCGGCCUGAGAGGGUGACCGGCCACACUGGGACUGAGACACGGCCCAGACUCCUACGGGAGGCAGCAGUGGGGAAUAUUGCACAAUGGGCGGAAGCCUGAUGCAGCGACGCCGCGUGAGGGAUGACGGCCUUCGGGUUGUAAACCUCUUUCAGUAGGGAAGAAGCGA
rnacentral:rRNA from 1 species